rnacentral:rRNA from 1 species
UACAGAGGUCUCAAGCGUUGUUCGGAUUCAUUGGGCGUAAAGGGUGCGUAGGCGGCGCGGUAAGUCGGGUGUGAAAUCUCGGAGCUUAACUCCGAAACUGCAUUAGAUACUGCCGUGCUUGAGGACUGGAGAGGAGACUGGAAUUUACGGUGUAGCGGUGAAAUGCGUAGGUAUCGUAAGGAAGACCAGUGGCGAAGGCGGGUCUCUGGACAGUUCCUGACGCUGAGGCACGAAGGUCAGGGGAGCAAACGGG